ensembl:miRNA mdo-mir-7385e mdo-mir-7385e
AGGUCUGAUAGUCUACCUUUCUGUGAUGUAAAACUCAGAAAGUAGUUUAUCAGAUCUGG